UGGACAAAUUAUUGUAUUCGACUGUAUUCACGGCGUGAAACAGGGGAUUGCACUAUUUUUAAAUGGAAAGUGAAUCAAUUAACAUAAUAGACUCCU
rfam:Nicotiana attenuata strain TT chromosome 7, whole genome shotgun sequence.